AUGAGUGGAGAAGGAGAUCAAAGCCAUGACGGAGCAGAGAGGCCUUUGCUAGGAGCUCGGCCGUUGGCGGAAGAGACGUUGCAAGCCAUAGCUUCCUCUACGGGGUACCCCAAGCCGGACGGCGUGACCCAGAGGAUUCCCAGAGGAGGAAGAGGCGUUCCGGCGGCGGCAGAAACCAGUUGGGGAUCUGGAGGAAGCAUGCCGGAGACCGUGGCCCUGCGGUUAUCCAUCCUGGAAACGAAUUUAUCCAGGCUGUCGGAAACCGUGGGGAGGUUGGUGCCACUGUUGGAAGAAAAUCUCCAGAAGGAACCCACCCGAUAUGGCACCGAGACAGAGCCACGUAAGGAAGGAGUUUGGAGCCAAAGAGGCCAGCGCGCCUCAACGCAGAGUCCCAUGGCGGCGAGGAGUGAGGAGGAUGAAGAAUACUGGCAGGAACUGGAGUUCCGGGACAGAAUGGCGCGCGAAGUGGAGCACCAGCACGCUCGGGGAACUCUGAGACCACCGACUCCAAUAGAACUUCCUGUCCAGCUUCCAACCCCCUGGAUGGGCGUCGGGGUGGAAAGACCACUGGGGCGAGGAAUUGGGUCCAGUGGAUUAGCAGAUGAAGGCGGAGAGGAGCCGGAGAUCCAGGAAGGGGAGGAGAAUGUGCCGUACGGCGAGGAACGGCGAGAUGCGGGGGCUACAGCGAGGCCCGAGUUCGGGUGGGUGGAAGGACCGACAGCAGCGGCAGAAUUUCGGGAGCCGCGCAGGACGACCGCCGGAGUGGGGCGCGGCGUGUUAAAAGGAGCCGUCCAAGGAAACCCGAUGCAACCCUUCCCCAUGCCUCCCAGACAGCAGCAGCGGGCCGUAGAAUGGAUGCAAAGGAGGGAAGAUCUCAAACUGGAAUACGGAGGGGAAUCAUCUGAACUGAACUUUUUCCUCAUUAGCGUCAGAGGAUAUAUAGAAGACAAUGCACACACAUUCCCCUCCGAAGCAAGCAUGGUUCGGGCCAUCGGCAACACACUAAAGAGAGGAGCGGCCAGCUGGUAUGUACAACUACAUGCCAGAAGCGACCCGUGCCUGAGGUCAGUGCCCCGCUUCCUCGCCGCGCUGGAAAACCGGUUCCGAGACCGGCUGGAGCAAUUGAGGGCUCGAGACCAGCUUAGAGGAAUAAAGCAGAGGGACAAAACGGUGCCUGAGUACGCAGAGGAAUUCCUCCAUCUCGCAGAAAAGGUACCAGAGUGGUCUGAAGUGACCAAAGUGGAAAUAUUCAAGGAGGGACUACGCCCCGAGAUUUUUAGUUGGGCGGCACAUAGAGACGACCCAGAAACACUAAGGGGCUGGAUACAACUAGCGGGGCGCGUUGAAUCCACCCUAGCCCAAGUGAAGCGUUUCAGGGGCGGCAGCGGCCAGCAAAGACCGACAGCGAGAGGUCGAGGAGAAACGAGGAAGCAGGAAAGGCCCGGAGCAAGGCCGGGGAUUCCCUUCAAAGGAGAUGACAACAAACCCAAACCGGGGUGCUUUGUAUGUGGGAAGACGGGCCAUCGAGCAGCAGAAUGUUGGGCCCGGAAGGGGGAGCUGCCAAAACCCUCAAAGCCCAAGCCAGCAGUCGGGAGGCGAGCGGAGGAGGAGGUGCGAGCCCCAGAAUCUCCGGAGAGGCUGAUUUGUGAUGAAAGAAGAACCGAAGAGGAGGACGAAGAAAAGGAGGGCACCAUGUCAUGGAACCCAGUUACAGGGCUGAAUUACCAAGCCCUGAACUGGGAGUCAUAACAUAAACAAUCCUAGAAGCACCUGGCAGAAGAAGAUAGAAUAUGCCUGGGAACUUGGGGUUGAAAAUAUAAACAAUUAUAAUUGGUCUAGUGUGUGAAAAUGGUAGUAAUGUGAUAUUGGGGGUGGGAAUUGAUGAUGGUAUUUACGUGUGGUGUUACGUAGCAUCAGAGGUGAUAAAAAUGAUAGUAUGUAAACAUUGGGUCAUUCUUGACUUUUCCAAAGUCAUGUGUUCUUCAAUAAAGAUUGGAUUUGAGAGCAGCUAUCUCUGAUCUGCGUUCAGACUGAUCCUUUGAAGUGAGCAGGACAUUAUCAUUGUAUAAUUUUAACUGUGUGGAACACCUGGUUCAAGGUAGUGUAUCUUUCAUCUCCAUUUAUUU
rnacentral:lncRNA from 1 species